rnacentral:rRNA from 1 species
GACGAACGCUGGCGGCGUGCUUAACACAUGCAAGUCGAACGGAAAGGCCCUGCUUGCAGGGUACUCGAGUGGCGAACGGGUGAGUAACACGUGGGUGAUCUGCCCUGCACUUCGGGAUAAGCCUGGGAAACUGGGUCUAAUACCGGAUAGGAGCCAUUUUUAGUGUGAUGGUUGGAAAGUUUUUUCGGUGUAGGAUGAGCUCGCGGGCUAUCAGCUUGUUGGUGGGGUAAUGGCCUACCAAGGCGGCGACGGGUAGCCGGCCUGAGAGGGUGGACGGCCAUAUUGGGACUGAGAUAAGGCCCAGACUCCUACGGGAGGAAGCAGUGGGGAAUAUUGAACAAUGGGCGCAAGCCUGAUGCAGCGACGCCGCGUGGGGGAUGACGGCCUUCGGGUUGUAAACUCCUUUCGCUAGGGACGAAGCUUUUUGUGACGGUACCUAGAGAAGAAGCACCGGCUAACUACGUG